UCAAUCAAUCAGUAUAUGGUGCCAAUCGAACUGUCAUUGCUCAUGGCGCCACACAGUAAAAUCUCAUAAACAGGUGAUAGCCUGUUUGAAUCUUGGUUCUAUUUGAAUGUUUGAAUCCUGUACCCUGCCUUGACCGAUUCCGAUCCGUUACGAUUUGAAACAUAUACAAUUAAAGACUUUAAUUUCUAAAAUCACAUUAAGCAUACAUGUACAACAUGAACUAUUAAAUAACCCUGAUCAUUGACCCAGUUGAGGCAGUUUAUUGUGAAUGUGAUGUUUCUAGAAUAUCUAAGGUACCAGGAGAGAGUUGGAUGGGAAUUGAGGAUGGAUGGCACAACUACAUUCAAUUUAGCUUGAUUUCCAUUCUUCUUCAUCUACACAGAGUCUGAAGUUAAAAACUUCUACAUGAUUUAUAGAUCCCUAUCUGUCAAAGGUGUAAUCAGCAUAAAAGCAGAGCUACAAAAAACUCACAACUUUUUUAUCGCAAUUACAUUGCAUUAUUGAUAAAAGCCUGAUUGCCCUUUUAUGGUUGUAAAGUAUCGCAGCAGGGAUGUCAGCCAUGAUUUUUAGGCUGUACCACAGGAAGAAAUACUGAAUAACAUCUCGUUAUGAAAACUCCAAACAUUAAGCUUAGAACAAAGGUGAUUUGAUGCAGAUUUCGAACUAUAAAAAUGUGUGAAAUGGACAGCAAAUGUCACGUAACUUGGUACACAUUCACAUUCUUUGUAUAAACAACAUUAUGGCUUGUAUUGAACCCAUCAAGUAACAUUAGGGAAAGGUUGCUCCAGAUACAAUGAUGUUAUGUUGUUGUUUACACAUGAUUGCCUGGUAUAGAGGGUGUUCUUCCG